rnacentral:rRNA from 1 species
AGAGUUUGAUCCUGGCUCAGGACGAACGCUGGCGGCGUGCCUAAUACAUGCAAGUCGAGCGCAGGAAACAAGUUGAUCCCUUCGGGGUGAUGCUUGUGGAAUGAGCGGCGGACGGGUGAGUAACACGUGGGCAACCUGCCUUGUAGACUGGGAUAACUCCGGGAAACCGGAGCUAAUACCGGAUGACCAACGGAAUCGCAUGAUUCUGUUGUAAAAGUGGGGAGUAAUCCUCACACUACGAGAUGGGCCCGCGGCGCAUUAGCUAGUUGGUAAGGUAAUGGCUUACCAAGGCAACGAUGCGUAGCCGACCUGAGAGGGUGAUCGGCCACACUGGAACUGAGACACGGUCCAGACUCCUACGGGAGGCAGCAGUAGGGAAUCAUCCGCAAUGGGCGAAAGCCUGACGGUGCAACGCCGCGUGAACGAUGAAGGUUUUCGGAUCGUAAAGUUCUGUUAUGAGGGAAGAACAAGUGCCGUUCGAAUAGGGCGGCACCUUGACGGUACCUCACGAGAAAGCCCCGGCUAACUACGUGCCAGCAGCCGCGGUAAUACGUAGGGGGCAAGCGUUGUCCGGAAUUAUUGGGCGUAAAGCGCGCGCAGGCGGUCUCUUAAGUCUGAUGUGAAAGCCCACGGCUCAACCGUGGAGGGUCAUUGGAAACUGGGAGACUUGAGUGUAGGAGAGG